AGGGUUUGAUUAUGGCUCAGGACGAACGCUGGCGGCGUGCCUAACACAUGCAAGUCGAACGGAACUGUUUUGAAAGAUUUCUUCGGAAUGAAUUUGAUUUAGUUUAGUGGCGGACGGGUGAGUAACGCGUGAGUAACCUGCCUUCAAGAGGGGGAUAACAUUCUGAAAAGAAUGCUAAUACCGCAUGACAUAUCGGAACCACAUGGUUUUGAUAUCAAAGAUUUUAUCGCUUGAAGAUGGACUCGCGUCCGAUUAGUUAGUUGGUGAGGUAACGGCUCACCAAGACCGCGAUCGGUAGCCGGACUGAGAGGUUGAACGGCCACAUUGGGACUGAGACACGGCCCAG
rnacentral:rRNA from 1 species